rnacentral:rRNA from 1 species
GAUGAACGCUGGCGGCGUGCCUAAUACAUGCAAGUCGAGCGAACAGACGAGGAGCUUGCUCCUCUGACGUUAGCGGCGGACGGGUGAGUAACACGUGGAUAACCUACCUAUAAGACUGGGAUAACUUCGGGAAACCGGAGCUAAUACCGGAUAAUAUAUUGAACCGCAUGGUUCAAUAGUGAAAGACGGUUUUGCUGUCACUUAUAGAUGGAUCCGCGCCGCAUUAGCUAGUUGGUAUGGUAACGGCUUACCAAGGCAACGAUGCGUAGCCGACCUGAGAGGGUGAUCAGCCACACUGGAACUGAGACACGGUCCAGACUCCUACGGGAGGCAGCAGUAGGGAAUCUUCCGCAAUGGGCGAAAGCCUGACGGAGCAACGCCGCGUGAGUGAUGAAGGUCUUCGGAUCGUAAAACUCUGUUAUUAGGGAAGAACAAAUGUGUAAGUAACUAUGCACGUCUUGACGGUACCUAAUCAGAAAGCCACGGCUAACUACGUG